AUGUACACGUGAUUUACUCGGCGGGAGAUGAUGUCUGAAACCUAGGCAGUGAGUAGCGGGGAGUGACAGAGGGCCAGCUUCCUGGCUCCCCGACGGGCUGGAUGUGGAGGUGGGAGAAAGGGAGGGGUCAAGAGUGGCUUCAGAACUCGCCCUGAGUCCCUGGCAGGAUGGAAUGGCCAUCGGCAACAUGGGGAGCUGGUGGGUGCGGGAGGUGGGUGGAGCAGGUGGGCCCACCUGGGAUGUGGUAAGCAGAGAGGGUCUUCACACCGCCAGUGGUGAUGCCCAACAGGCGGCGGGCUCUCCGGGCCGGUGAUCCAGGGGCAGGUGUGGUCCCUCUGCCUAGAGAUGCCAUGUGAAGCCACGGGCAGGACAGGGUCCAGCCUCUAGGUGGAGUCCAAGGGCGCCCACCAGGAGGGGGUCAGGAGAAGAGGAGGAGCAUGUGAGCUGGGAGGAGGUCGGCCCAUGAGGCCUGAGAGCUGGCCGCUGGCUGCAGCCACGGGGGCCCUUUCAGCCCCACCCAUGUUUCCCUUCAUGAGAACCUCACACCAAAGUAUGUGUCAGUGCGUGGUACGCUUCACUUUCAGAGCUUGCCUGGCUGUUCAUGAACGUUUACUGUCCAUAUGAAUGUUGGAAUCAGGUUGUCUAUUCGCUGUGUCUACAACCGUUAGUGUCUGUGUCUAGGAUGUCGUUCCAGAGGGAGAGGCCAGCAGUUACAGCAGUACCCUCGGUUGGAAGGGGAUUGGGCAAUGUCUGGAGAAAGUUUUGUCACCACUGGUGGAAGGGGUGCACCGGCACCUAGUGGUGGAGGCCAGGAUGCUGCCAACACCCUGCAGUGCACAGGACACCCCCACAACAGGGAGGCAUCUGGUCCAAAGUGCUCAUGGUGCUGCAUUUAAGAAACCCAGAUUUAGGUGCCUACAAAACAUCUUUCUGAAAAGGCUCACCUCUGCCUGUUCUGGUGCUGGCUGCUGGGCUGUUUCAUGGGACGCAACCUUCUAAAAUGCUCUGGCAUAGGCUAAAGUAUAGAUGCUGUAAUGAGCUGGAGACAUUUUUAUUGUCUCCAUUUGCCCAGUGUUUGGCCCCUUCCUGUAGUUGGGUGAUGCUUUUGGUGGUAUCCAAGGUACCCAAUAACGUUAAAGAAGCUGAAGCCAGAUGCGUGAUUUCCUAGCAUCCCUGGCAGGCCUUUGACCCAGGCUCCUCCAUCUGAUGCACCUGGGCAGGGGU
rnacentral:lncRNA from 1 species